CAGGGAUAAAUGGUGGGACCUCUGUUAUUUGUGUGAUGUAUAUAGAUGACUUGGACAAAAAUGUAGAUGGGUUGGGUAGUUUGCAGAUUGCA